AACGAACGCUGGCGGCAGGCUUAACACAUGCAAGUCGAGCGCCCCGCAAGGGGAGCGGCAGACGGGUGAGUAACGCGUGGGAAUCUACCCAUCUCUACGGAAUAACGCAUGGAAACGUGUGCUAAUACCGUAUACGUCCUUCGGGAGAAAGAUUUAUCGGAGAUGGAUGAGCCCGCGUUGGAUUAGCUAGUUGGUGGGGUAAAGGCCUACCAAGGCGACGAUCCAUAGCUGGUCUGAGAGGAUGAUCAGCCACGCUGGGACUGAGACACGGCCCAGACUCCUACGGGAGGCAGCAGUGGGGAAUAUUGAACAAUGGGCGCAAGCCUGAUCCAGCCAUGCCGCGUGAGUGAUGAAGGCCCUAGGGUUGUAAAGCUCUUUCACCGGUGAAGAUAAUGACGGUAACCGGAGAAGAAGCCCCGGCUAACUUCGUGCCAGCAGCCGCCGUAACAC
rnacentral:rRNA from 1 species